CUGGGCAAAUCCGGGAUCACUUACGCCGAGCACCGAGACGAGUCCUAUGAGGACGAAGUGACUGACACCACGCUUCCAGGAAAAGCCACUAAGCUUCAGCUUAAGAAAAACCGUACCGCAAACCGACACAGGUAGGCAGGGUGAGAAUCCCAAGGCGCUUGAGAGAACUCGGGUGAAGGAACUAGGCAAAAUGGCACCGUAACUUCGGGAGAAGGUGCGCCCUUUGGUGUGGUCACGUGCGUGACUGAGCAUCGAAGGGUCGCAGUAACCUGGUCUGCGACUGUUUAUCAAAAACACAGCACUCUGCAAACACGAAAGUGGACGUAUAGGGUGUGACGCCUGCCCUGUGCUGGAAGGUUGAUUGAUGGGGUCAGCCGCAAGGCGAAGCUCUUGAUCGAAGCCCCAGUAAACGGCGGCCGUAACAAUAACGGUCCUAAGGUAGCGAAAUUCCUUGUCGGGUAAGUUCCGACCUGCACGAAUGGCGUAACGACAGCGGCGCUGUCUCCACCCGAGACUCAGUGAAAUUGAAAUCGCUGUGAAGAUGCAGCGUUCCCGCGGCAAGACGGAAAGACCCCGUGAACCUUUACUAUAGCUUUACACUGAACGUUGAGUUCUUCUGUGUAGGAUAGGUGGGAGGCCAUGAAACCAGGACGCUAGUUCUGGUGGAGCCAUCCUUGAAAUACCACCCUGAAGUGCUUGACGUUCUAACCUAGGCCCGUAAUCCGGGUCAGGGACCGUGUAUGGUGGGUUUUGACUGGGGCGGUCUCCUCCCAAAGAGUAACGGAGGAGCACGAAGGUACGCUCAGCGCGGUCGGACAUCGCGCACUGUGUGCAAAGGCAUAAGCGUGCUUGACUGCGAGAUCGACGGAUCAAGCAGGUACGAAAGUAGGUCUUAGUGAUCCGGUGGUUCUGUAUGGAAGGGCCAUCGCUCAACGGAUAAAAGGUACUCCGGGGAUAACAGGCUGAUACCGCCCAAGAGUUCAUAUCGACGGCGGUGUUUGGCACCUCGAUGUCGGCUCAUCACAUCCUGGGGCUGUAGCCGGUCCCAAGGGUAUGGCUGUUCGCCAUUUAAAGUGGUACGCGAGCUGGGUUCAGAACGUCGUGAGACAGUUCGGUCCCUAUCUGUCGUGGGCGUUGGAGAUUUGAGGGGGGCUGCUCCUAGUACGAGAGGACCGGAGUGGACGUUCCGCUGGUGUUCGGGUUGUCAUGCCCAUGGCAUUGCCCGGUAGCUACGAACGGAAGUGAUAACCGCUGAAAGCAUCUAAGCGGGAAGCACGCCCCAAGAUGAGAUCUCCCGAGAGCUUGACUCUCCUAAAGGCACCAUCAAGACUAGGUGGUUGAUAGGUCAGGUGUGGAAGCGCAGCAAUGCGUUGAGCUAACUGAUACUAAUGAGCCGUGAGGCUUGAUC
rnacentral:rRNA from 1 species